rnacentral:rRNA from 1 species
CGACCGGCGCACGGGUGAGUAUCACGUAUGAAACCUGCCCGUAGCAGGGGGAUAAGCGGAAGAAAUUCCGUCUAAUACCGCGUAACAACCCAUGGAGGCAUCUCUGUGGGUUUAAAGGAAGCGAUUCCGGCUACGGAUGGUCAUGCGUCGCAUUAGCUUGUUGGCGGGGUAACGGCCCACCAAGGCGACGAUGCGUAGGGGUUCUGAGAGGAAGGUCCCCCACACUGGUACUGAGACACGGACCAGACUCCUACGGGAGGCAGCAG